rnacentral:lncRNA from 13 species
CAAGCUCAGGGUUCCACUGCUUCUACGUUAUGGAGGAGAGAAUAUGGACACAUGGAGCUUUGGAAGCCAAGUGUAUGCCUGGUGGAGGGAUGACAUGAGCUGAAGGAAGAAGUGGGAAAUGUUCGCGCCAAGGGCUUGAGACAGUUAGCGUGACUCACCACAUCUUGGCUGCUGGACCUAUCUGCUCUCCCCCAGCUCUUGAGGGCUGUUGAGUCGAGGUAAAAAUGGCUAAGCCACUGAGGCAAAAACGGAAUGCAGAGUAAGGGCCUGCGGUUUAUGAGGACAUUGUGCUGACUGCUUUCAUAUCCC